rnacentral:tRNA from 1 species
GAUGGUGUAGCUCAGCGGUUAGAGCGGUUGACUGUUAAUCAACGGGUCGAUGGUUCGAAUCCAUCCACCAUCGCCA